GUUACACAAUGGUUAGCGCGUUGGACUUCUGAUCCGAACGUCGUGGGUUCGAAUCCCACUCA
rnacentral:tRNA from 1 species